AGAUAUACAAUGUAAAACAUGAGAUACAUUAUAAGUUGGUUUACAAACGCCGCAGUAACUUCUUAACACGUUAACGUCCAGUAUCUGACCUAAAUUUAAAUAUAUAUUAGCCAGCGGGAGACACGCGAUUCAAUAAUCUAACAAACAUUUUAGCCUUAUAUAUAUACAUACACCCACGUAGUAUUUAUUGUUUAAAGUACGAAUUAACGUUCUGGGUGUUACAAUAAACAAUAUUUUACAGGCAAAAUGAUUGUGUGUCACGCUGUAGUAUUUUUUGUCAACAUUUGUCUACUAAAUUUACUUCAGACUAACGGACAAAGUCACGAACAUCCAAAAAUAGUUGGCGGUAAUUAUGCUGACGAAGGACAAUUUCCUUAUCAAGUGUCGCUGAGAAUUAAAAAUCGUCAUUUUUGUGGCGGCUCGAUAUUAAAUCAUAGAUGGAUCCUUACUGCUGCUCAUUGUUUGCGAAAUUUCAAUGACACGGCAAUUAAAGUUGUUACGGGUUCAACAAAAUUGGACGAAGGAGGAAAUUGGUAUCAAUCAGUACGCAUUAUACCGCACGAACGAUAUAGUUCAUUGUUUAUUAGAAAUGAUAUCGGGCUGAUUGAAGUUGACGAGGAUAUUGAAUUUUCUGACAACGUUAAGCCCGUUGAUCUUCCAACAAGUAACUUUGACAAGAGUGAUUAUCCGGCUUAUUUGUCUGGAUGGGGUAAAACUGAUUAUCCAGGAAGUAUUCCCAACGACUUACAAUACAUAAAGCUUACGGUAAUUGAUCAGAAACAGUGCCGCAACUUCAGUAUGCGGGUGACAAACAAGAACAUCUGUACAUUGAAUGGAAGAGGCGAGGGAGCAUGCCAUGUAAGAUUAAGAGUACUUGCUAGUUUAAUAUAUCUAUAGAGAGUUUCUCACUUGAGAGCUCUCCUGGAGUCUUGAUUUCUUCUAUUCAUAUAUAUAUAAAUAAACUCUUAAAAAGGUGACUCUGGUGGGCCACUGGUGUCUGAUGGAGUCCAGAUCGGCGUCGUAUCGUGGGGAAUACCUUGCGCGAAAAACAAACCCGACGUCUUCACCCGCGUCUACAGUUACCGCGACUGGAUAAAGGAAAACAUUGAGAG